rnacentral:tRNA from 1 species
GGGGAUUUAGCUCAGUGGUAGAGCGCUUGCCUAGCAAGUGGAAGGCCCUGGGUUCAGUCCUCA